GGCUUCCCCUAAGACAGUGGUUCUUGAACUCCAGUGUGCAUUAGAACUGUGUGGAGGUCCCCUACAACACAGAAUGCUGAGCCCAUCCCAGAGUUUGUGAUCCAGUAGGAUGGCGGACCCAAGAAUUUACAUCUCUGAUCAUUUCCCAGGCUAAGAUUUGACUACUGCACUCAUCCGGUGACCAGCCAGCUCCAGACAACAGACCUGACACCAGCCACGCCCAUCGAGACAGCAGACCUGCUCCCCACUGUGUCCAUCCAUAGCUAUUCUGGCAUGGCAACCUGGCAGGGCGAUCUUGCUUGAAAGAAAUCGCCACGGAAGAAGAGAAACAGAUAUAGCAGUCAAAAGGGGGAAUUUUUGACACCCCCUCACAGAUGUGGUUGGCACCUAGUAAAAAAAUCCAUAGUACCUAUUGGAGCACAAUUGCCACUGCUCCAGCAUAUACACCAAUUAACCCAUUGGGCACCUGAAAAGAUAAUUUUGUGGGAAGAGCAAUGCUUUUAAAAACCUUCUCCCACAGCAGCUCAUAAAGCUAUACUGAUUGUGUUAUAUGCCCAAAAUAUCAUCUAGGGAAACUACUACAUGAAUCACAAGGCCACUUUCCCUUUACUAAGGGACCCUUUGAGGUAUGGCAAUCGGACUUACUCCAAAUGCCACCAUCUCAAGGAUAAAUAUAUCUUGUAAUGACUGUGCAUUCUCACAUUGGGUUGAGGCCUUUCCUUGCAGAAGAGCAAUGGCUCUAAUAGUAGGUAAAUUACUAUUAGAGAGAAUAGCUCCUGUUUGGGGAAUUCUUGCUGAGUUAUAUAGUGACCAGGGAACUCAUUUCACUGAACAAAUAAUUAGUCCAUUUGUAAUAUUGGGCCAAUGAUACAGCAUUUCCACUGCACUUAACAUCCCCAAUCCUCAGGAUUUGUGGAAAGGACUAAUGGCACAAUCAAAACUCAAUUGGCAAAGCUUUCAGGAACAUUUAAUCUCAUGGCUGAAAGCUGUUCUGCUAGUGUUCCUCAAUCUUAGAUCUAUGCCCUUUUGUAAACAUCGGCUGUCUCCUUUUGAGAUAAUAACUGGACAGUCUAUGCAAUUAGAUAAAGAAAUGUAUGAAACAACAUUACUUAAAGAAAAUAUCUUAAUUACUGCCAAGGUCUCAUUGAGACACUUAAAAAUAUAUUUAUAUGAGA